CAUGUCUAAGUAUAAGCAACUUGUACUGUGAAACUGCAAAUGGCUCAUUAAAUCAUUUAUCGUUAAUUUGAUAGUACCUUACUACUUGGAUACCUGUGGUAAUUCUAGAGCUAAUACAUGCUAAAAACCCCGACUUCAGGAAGGGGUGUAUUUAUUAGAUAAAAAACCAACGCCCUUCGGGGCUCCUUGGUGAAUCAUAAUAACUUAACAAAUCGCAUGGCCUUGCCCCGGCGAUGGUUCAUUCAAAUUUCUGCCCUAUCAACUUUCGAUGGUAGGAUAGUGGCCUACCAUGGUGGCAACGGGUAACGGGG
rnacentral:rRNA from 1 species